rnacentral:sRNA from 1 species
UCUGGGGUACAAGGUGCCUUCUUUGUGGCCAUUGCAUCCUAUGUCCAGCCCAGGCCUGGACAAUGAUGAGAUGUGCUCAGGUGCUUGGUCAGGGCUGGCUUUGGUGGUUGCAGAAUCAUAUCUUCCUAGUGAGUUACACCAUUGCUGCGCCUGCUCUGGGCUGCCCUCCCAGCAUCUGCCUUCAUGAGAGGUGUGACAUGUGGGCUGUAACUUGUUGCGCAGCCUCAUGGAGAAACUGUCUUUCUGUAGGUUGGUUCCUGUAUACCUUGGGCCAGAGAGCAAACAUAGGUGGCCUGAGAGAGCCCUGGUACGUGGUGGAGAAGGACAGCGUCAAGGGUGACGUGUUUGUGGUGAGUGGGUCAGCCUCUGAGACAGCACUGGGGCUGGUUCUGGCAGGGCCAGCAGUGCUUCUGGACCAGGGCUUGAGAAGGCCUCCAGCAGCCGUGGCUUCCUGGAGGCUGUGACUAACUCUGUUCCUGUCCUUGGUCCCCUGCCUUUCCUGGGACUGGCCAUGGUGGCAGGAGAGUUUUAAGGUAUUCAUUAGGCUCAGUUGUGUGCUGGUCUCUUAAUCAUCACUGAACCCCGAUAUACAGAUACAGUUUCUCCAAUUUUACGAAAGAGGACAGCGACACCCAGAGCUUGGGUGGCUCAUCUGGUGGAGAGGGCGUGGCCUCAGUGCCAAGGAUGGUGCCCACCAUGGUAGGAUCCAGUGAGUUGUUGUCAGGCAGGUGCAGAUGGCCAAGCCAGGAUCAAACCAAGCCACUUCCACCACAGUGGGGCCCUUAGCGCUGUGACCCUGGCCUCAAAGCAGGGCCGCUCGGUGGCGGCAAGGUCACCCCACCUUCAGGGGACCUUGCCGGUGUCUGGAGGCAUUUUUGGUUGUCACAGCUUGGGUCGAAAAGCAAGGACAUGGGUGCUGCUGCAUCUGUGGGUCAGGCCGGGGACGCUGCUGGCCGUGUUCAGCACAGCCUCUUCCCUGAAUGACCCAGCCUCCACCUUGGUGCGCAGAGCUGAGAAGGCCCACUCUCAGCACCCUGGCUGCCGGCUCGUGUUCCGGCACGAAUGCUGGGGCGCCUUCUCUUAGACGCAGGCGGGGGCCAGCAGGCCCCACCCGCUGAUUCCAGUACAUCUCCUUACUAGGAAGACCUGGGGGGUGAAAAGCCUGGCUGCGAAUAAAUUAAAUGAUGUAGAUUUCAGUUGAUCUAGUUUUCAGUUUGCUGUGAGAAGACCAGAAGGGUUAACCAACGGCCUCGUGUCCCUGGACGGGUCUUGGUGCCUGCUUAGAACCCAAAGCCCUUAACUUCAUGCUCCUCGUCCUGUAUCAGGGGCAGGGCUUGGCACAAUCCCAGGAGGUGCCAGGUCUCAAUGGCCCGAGGCCAUGGGUGGGUGACAGGGAGCAGGGGCCUCAGAACCAACGUAGGGUGUCUGGGGCCCCCCCAGACCAGGGCCAGUCCUGAGGCGCACCUGCGGGAAGCCAGCACCUACCAGUCCCUCCUUUCUCCUCAGCCAUUUGGGGUGUGGAGGAAUUCCUGGGGUGGCCUUGAGAGAGAGAAAAGCCCGUGGUGUGGCUGGCCUGUGUCCCUGCGAAUAGAAAAACCAGUCCUCGAGGGUGGCCGUGCUGGCGCCCCACAGGUGGUUGCAGGUGGAGGGCCUGAGUCAGACUUGAACCUGCAGCAAUCACUGUCAUGGGCUCGGAUCUCACCCCUGCCUCUUCCCUGCUCUGACGUGGUCCUUCCUUCCUGGGCCUUCGUCUCCUCAUCUGUCAAAUGGGGAUUCAGAGGCCCGGCGGGUGAUGAGAUGAAUUUCUGUGGGGAGAACACUUCGAGCAGUGCUGCCACCGUUACCUGUGUGUAUGCUGGUAGGACAGUUGUUCCCAGGGACCACACUGAGGCCGGCCUUGGGGUGAGGUGCCCCUUGGCGUCCCCACCUUCGCAUUCCAUUCUGCAGGCCCCCCGGACAGACCACCCAGCGCUGUACAGGGACCUGCUGAGGACCAGCCGCGUGCACUGGAUCGCGGAGGAGCCUCCCGCAGUACUGGUCCGGGACAAGAUGAUGGAGUGCCACUUCCGAUUCCGCCACCAGAUGGCACUAGUGCCCUGUGUGCUGACCCUCAAUCAAGAUGGCACCGUGUGGGUGACAGCUGUGCAGGCUGUGCGUGCCCUUGCCACAGGACAGUUUGCUGUGUUCUACAAGGGGGACGAGUGCCUGGGCAGCGGGAAGAUCCUGCGGCUGGGGCCGUCUGCCUACACACUCCAGAAGGGCCAGUGCAGAGCUGAGGUGGCCACUGAGAGCCCCACUGACAGCCCAGAAGAUGGUCCAGGCCUGAGUCCCUUGCUCUGACAGAGAUGGAGCUGCUAGAAGGAACCUGGAGAGCAGGACCCAGGGCUGGGUGGCUGGUGAGCAGUCCAGGUGCCCAACGGCCAACUUGCUGCUGCCCAAAGCAGAGGAACUGGGCUGGCCGAGGGUCUGAAAAGCCUGCGGGGGCCCGGCGACCCCCAGGAAGAGCCUCACCUCCAGGCUGGGGCUCGGGCUGCUGGAGCAUCUGCUGGCUGGUGGGGUGGCCCGAGUUCCCCUUCACCGCCCCCAGGGAGAGUUUCCCACCUCAGAGCACGCAGAGGGGACCUGCAGAGGGGGCUGCCAGGACAGCGUGGAAUAAACAUUAUUUCAAGGAC